AGAGGGAGAGAGAGAAUCCCAAGCAGACUCCACGCUUGAGUGCGGAGCCUGACACGGGGCCCGCUCUCACGACCACCUGAGCUGAAAUCAAGAGUCGGACACUUAACUGACGAAACCACCUGGGCGACCCAUAGAGCUGCUCAGAAUUUUAGAUCAUCUGUUCUACUCCAACCAAGGAGUUGGAUUUGUCCCCUACUUCAUAGAAGAAUCCGAAGCUCCUUAACUUGUCCUCCCAAGGAUGUUCUGCCAGAAGACUACAACCUUAUACCCAUCCUGGAUCUGUCCUCUGAGCUUCGGUCCAUAUUCUGAACUCCUGUGGGCAUCUCAAAGGCAACUCGAAUCUCAACCUGUCCACAAAAGGGUCACCAUUUCUUCCCUUAAGUGGGUCUUCUCGGAGGACUAUCUGUCUCAGAAGAUGGCACUCCCACCAUCACCACUGCCACCAUUCACUGACUUUGGGAAACAUUUAUUGAACACUUACUUUGUGUAAGAGACUAGAGGUUAAUAAAACUCGGUUUUCGAGCAUUUCGCUGCCCCAGGAGGGCAGCGGGCCCCCUGUCCAAUUCAUCAACUGCCUAAUGAGCGGCCCCGGAGGUCCCAGCCCGUCCAUUCCAGAAGCUCUCUCUGCCUUGUAAAGGCUCUCUUGCCUUCGCCAGCUUGUCAGGACACUGCCAGCUCCGGGCAUGGGGCCGCGUCAGUCCCGACACGGUGGGAGAGCUGGAAUCGGAGCACACGAGCUCGGGGACACCACAGCCGCCCACCUUGAGCCCAGAGGAGAAGGAGCACGGAAGGGAGGUUACGGUCACCAUGGCUGCAGUACAAGGAAAAGUGGAAAAGCUGUCUUGGACCUUCUUACCACCCACCUGGCCCUGAUGCCAGUUCACAGACCUCAUCCAAACAAGUAGCUGGGAUUUGGGGACUUCUUAUAACACCUGAAAGAUUUGCCGUUACCCUGUGCACUUGCGAGAGGACCACGGCCCAGCGCACGGAGCUAGUGAUUUUGCCAACUUCCUGGAUGUUCAUUUCUGGUUCUGCACAAAAGAGCCACAUUUCCUUUUGGAACCGGGACCGGGAGACGGACGGCAGCAGGCACUGGAAAUUGUUGUGAGGAUUUGAGACAGUGAAUGCAAAAUCUGGGCCUGUAGAGCAUGCUGGAUAAAGGAUCACAUCACAACUGCCUCUGGGCGAGUCCCUGGAGCCCUGAAAUAAAUGGGCAGAGGGGCUGCCUGCAUCACAUCUAUACCAGCUGGGCACCCUGGCAGUGCUCCCGUGCCUCUGCUGCCUGUGCGAAGUGCCCGUGCCGGCCUGAGGAAGGACAAGGGACACGCAGAGCCUGGUGCCCCAUUCAGUGCCGUGGAACUCUGGACACGUAAGUCAGCCUAACCGAUGUCAGCAGGGCCGCCCCGCUGGCCGCCCAGACGUCACACGAGCUUGCCUGUGGUGAAAGCUGGCCGUGACAUAGUUGCCAGGGUGACGAGCCGCUCUCGUGGUCUAAGGUGGCCCUUGAGAAUGAGGUUGUGAGGCCAGCAGCACGAGGCUGGGAUUCUAGCUCAGCUGUUUCUGAAUGGCUGCCCUGGGGAAAGUCAGUUCGUUUCUCUGGGCCUCAGUUUUGUCUUCUGUAGAGUGGGGAUAACAGUAGGACCCACCUCAUGUGCGGCUUGAGGUGAUACACGUCAGGCGAAUGGAACACAGUCAGCAGCCAGUAACUGUGUCGUUAUUGUGAAGGGGAUUAACAACAAUAUUGUGUCAUAAAAACCGACGGCCACAGUCCAGCCUUUGCUCUCGUCUCUCUGCUCCCUGACACAUGCCCUCGAGGCUCACAGCUUGCCGCUCCUCGAGGCUCCAUGCCGUUUUGUGCCUCAGUGCCUUUGCAUAUGCUGUUCCUGCCCCUGGAGUGCCGUUCCUCUCUCCACCGAGCGAGUCCCCUCCUUUCUUCGAGACCCCACUUAAGUGCAGUGAAGAAUUCAGGGUAACUAUCUGAAUAUUUCCCUUCUUCCCCCCACCCUUUUUGGGCUGUUAUAUGCAAGAACAUAUUCUCCCUUCAGCUCUGGGGUCACCUUGGAUUAGCCAUCUCUCCCAUGUGGCAGAUGGACCACAUCAGAGACUGUCACCGUCGCAUUCGCCCCGAGGUACAAGAUGUCAGGACAUGACAUUGGGAUAGAAAACAAGGUCCACGUGGCAAGACAAAGCCCUGCCAUGCCAGUUCUCCAAACCCAAGCUACCGCACCCCCUCCCUCGUUCAGUGGGCAGGCGUUCACGAGCUCACGUGUGCGGCACAUGUGGGCGGCUCUGGUUUACAGCUGGGGACCCAUGUGAGGUCAUUUCUGUCGUGGUCCAUCGGGAGGGCAGACACGCACGUGGACAACCACAGGCUUUGAUGGGGCAGCGGGUGUCCGAACAGAGAUGGGAGAGGUCAGCCUGGUGUGGGGGCUGAGGAACCCAGGCCUGGGUGAUGGAGCCGGUGAGGGGCGCAGAGCCUCCUCGUGGGCCCCUGCGGGCAGUGGGCUGUGAGGGUAGGUGCGGUCUGAGACCUGGGCCCAGCUCAGAGCAUGGACGUCAGGGCGGGUGACUGCUUUAGCUUCCGCGCCACUGUCCCACAACCAGCUGGCGGGUCUGGCCACCCCACUUCACAGACGCAGGCUCCCUGGCCCCCCUGAGAGGGGAUCUCCCUCAAUCACAAGCCGGGAGGAAACAGCAAAUCAGGGUGUGUCAAUCACAUGUAUGUCUUGGGAAACUGGUUUCACCAAGGAAACAAAUAAAUAAAAUAAAACAGACAAAUAAAUAAAACGUUUAUUCUAGUGAGUAGAGACAGCCCACCUUUCUGCUCCCCAAGGAAGACCAAGAACAUGCUGAAUGGAUGGCAUCACCGUCAAUCCUCCCAUGGGCGAGGGGGGGGGGCAGGGCCUGGCCUGGGUGGGAGUGGUUUCCAUAGAGACUGCCUGUCUACCGCCAGUGUCCCCUCCUGGAAGAUGGCAUGAGGGGCAGCUCCUCACAUUCAGAUGGUGCACUGGUCGGGACCGCGGUGGUUGGCAGUGACAAGGCGGGUUGUCUGAGGCCUGGGGGGCUGGAGGUGGGCAGUCUGGCCAGGGCCCCGGCUCCCCCCAUCUUUUGGACUCAGUGCCUGUGGGCUCUCAGGCAUGAGGUGCACACCGCACCUGUGAGGCUCAGCCCCGGGCCAGGGAGAGGCGCGCCGUCCUGUCAUUCUGGAAGGGCCGUCUUCAGCAGCUCACCUCCGUCGCCCUGGCUGCCACUGAGUCACCUGACCACUCUCCACUGCAAAGGAGUCUGGGAAACUGCAUAUUUUUAGUCAGGUCCACUGCCAAGCCAAAUAAAACCCAAAUCCUGUCAACAAGGAGGAAUGGGUGGGGAGCAGAUGUGGUCAGGCAGCCAGCAGAGGGCUGAGCGUUGACGCUGUCUUGGUUUGAAGGUGAGGGAGACAUUUUUCUUUGCAAAUACUCUUUUGAUGAGAUGUUUAUCUCUUACUGUUCUGAAGAUUUCACCCACAGCCUCAUUACAAACAAAAUGAAUUAAUAUGUUGCUACCAGUUGGGAGCAUAAGGGAUGGGGCUUUGGCCAAGACUUCCCCUACUGUAGGCGCCUUCUUUCUUGUUUCAUGGAGAAGGACGUGGGAGUCCACCAGUAGUCGGUGUCAGUGGGGUUCAAAUGGCAAACCCCUGGUAGCCCCAUGGUCCUGGCCACGGCCGGUGAGGGUGCUCGUGGGGCCUGUGGAGAGUCCGGGCCCUGUGGGAAUGGGGGUGGGGCUGCGCUGGGGAGGAGAGCCCCCCUUCUUGACCACAUGCCGGGGGGCACCACGGCCUCCCUCGUCCUUCUGUGGCCCCCGCACCGCCUCAGGCUCCUGGGAGAGCAGAGUGUUUCUGCCAGUGGGCUCUCCAAGCAUGGAGCCUGGCCCUGGGAGCAAACUCGUUCUGCUUCUGGCUGAGAGCCUCCCCUGACCUGGCUGCGCACUGCGGGGCCGGGCAUCCUGGGGACCAACUAAGGAAGUCCACUUCGCCUGUGUUCGUGCUCCGCGAUGCUGGGCAGGGCGCCGCUUCCCCAGCUGGGGCGUCCUCCCCUCAAGAGCAGGCAGCGUGGGCCCUGCCAGGGCUGCUGAGGGGACACGAGCAGGGUGGCACAUGGGGCCUCUUGUGGGGCCUGGUGCCUGGAAGGAGCCCAGGAGUCGUGGUUGCCCUAGCCCCUCGACACGGGUACCAGCCCUUGGGUGCCAGUGAGAGAUGGGCCCAUUUCUCAGCCUCAGAUUCCUGGCCUGUACUGCAGGAACAUUGUCCAGGUUUCCCUGACAGGUUUGCUGUGAGUUUUAGAAAGACAUUUCAAUAGUUAAGGUUUGCAGAGCACAGAUCGUCGGCCAGGCCCUGCACUAAGUGUUUCACGGGACCGGCUCUCUGGUGCACGGCUGGGUGUUAGCGCACACUCAGGGCAGCGAGGAUCACAUGUGUGCCCAGCUUGUCAAGCCUGUCCUGCAGCAGGUGACCCUCUCCUGAGCCCGGUUCUCCCUCCCAGCACAGAGCAGGAUGUCCCUGACGAAGGUCCUGUGUCUUCCCUCACGCUCCGCGAAUCCCCAGAGGCAGCCCUGCUCCUUACCGUGGCCAUUGCUGGAAACCCCACUGUAGGUCAGGCGGUAAAGGAGAUCAGGAAAACGCAAUGCAGAAAUUAUGUUUCGCUGAAGUCGUGGUCCCCAAACAGGGCUGUCCGACAGCGGGAUCCUGUCAGGGAGAAACAGCCUGCCCUAAAAGCAAAACAAGGAAGCCAGCCUCACCUUAAAUUGGAGAAUCCUUUUACCCAGGCCUGUCAAGUGGGCAAUUCUGGACAUGUCUGCUGUCCCAGGGACCCUCUUCCAUGACACCUCAACAAGUUAACUCUUCCGUGUACGGCCAUUAGGAUUCGUGUCUUCGGUCCACUCUAGGAUUCGGUAAACAUUUAAUUAACAACCCGUCUCUCUCUCUGUAGAGUGUUGAAGGGCUUUAGGGCAUUCUGUGGAGGAGAAAGUCUUCUCGAGAGACUUGCUCACUGAGGUCUGCUCUUACUGCACCUUCCUUUCUGGGAAGAGGCCCCAGAGCUACCCAAAAUUCAUCUUCAGACUGGGAGUGCUGUCACAGGCGGUCAGUCCCCAGUGUGAGCUGGCGAUGCUCUUCCUCUCUUGCAAGAAUUCUGAGAUGCAGACAUCCAUGGCCAAUGCAGGUGCCAGUCAGGAAGGUGUUCAGCUUCGAGUCACAAGUAGUCCAACCUGCAGUGGCUGAAACGGGCACAGGGUCCCUUUUGUCAUGUGAUGAGGCAGACACUCCGUGUCCAGAGAAACAGCUGCUGACAUCUGCAUUUGCUCGACCGCACAAGCCAGCAUCCCAGGCAGCUUGCAUCUGUGCCCUGUCGCUGCUGUAACAAAUGGCCACCAACUUGCUGGCUUGAAACAAGAUGCAUUUAUAAUCUUCAGUCUGCCUGCUGACAUGGUCUCACUGGGCUGAAUCCCACCAGCUGAAUCAGCAGGGCUGGUUUCUUCCGGAAUCUCUAGGCGUGAAUCAUUGCCUUUCCCAGCUUCUAGAGAUGCCUGUGUCUCUCAAAGUGGGCCCCUCCAUGUCCUCACCCAAGCUGGCAGUGUGGUGUCUUUCUGCCCUCCUAAUCACAUCUGUCCCUCCACUGUCCUCUUCUGCCUGCCUCUUCCUUGUAAGGACACCCGUGGUUACACUGGCCACUCAGUAAUGCAGAGUCUUCUCCCCAUGUUGAUUAGCAACCCUCAUUCCAUCUGCAGCCCUGCUUCCCCCUGGCCCUAUAAGCUAACAUUUUCACAGGUGCUUGGGAUUGGGAUGUGGAUGGUUCGGGGGUGGGGAGGGUCGUCAUUCUGUCUGCUACAUUGCCAUUAUCUGUCCUGUUACGGUCUCAGGAUAGCUGCUGCAUCACCGGCCAUCAUGUCCGCAUUCGAAGGAGGCAGGGAGGGUCCGUGUCUUUUAAUCAGAAGAGCACAGAGGGUUUCCCAGAAGCAUCCCUAAAGAUUCUGUUUACGGGUGGCCAGGGAGAAGGUGGGUGUGAAGACCCCAGCAAGCGUGUCCCUCUGCGGUGUUUGUUACGGCCUCCCUUCCAGGUUCCCGAAUGCACGGCAGUGGGUCGUCGUGGACCUGGGCCCAGGUCGCAGGAAGUGGUGGCUUCCCGAACACGUCUGCAAAGCUGUCCAUGGAGUGUGGCUGACACGGCGGUUCUGGAAGCGAACUUGAGGCUCUGCUCCUGGGAUAGCGGGGCAGGUUCCGAGCUUCAGAAUGGGUUGUCCUGGCUCCUAGCACCUUCUUGACAUGAGAACGAGAGAGAAUGUGUGACAGGCUCCAGGGGGGUGGUGGAGGUAGCACGGCUGCUGCCCAGGCAGGAGUGGGACCCUGAGCGAAGAGUGACCGUGGGCAGGUCUCAGGCGCAGGUACUAUUUUGGCAUCAAUAUGGCAGAGGAAGGGGUGUGGCUCCCCCACCAGGGACUUCCAUUUUACGGACCAUUCGGUCCUACCUCACAUUGAACCCAAUUAGAGAUUGUGUAUUCUACCUGGAAAACGGACGCUCGGUUCUGUGUUCCCAGGUGGGUUCUGGGACACUUCAUUGUUGAUUUCUCCCCCAAAGCACACUGGCUCUGCCUGAACUCAUUCAGCUAACCUAGAGGUAAGGAAAUAGACCUCAUGGGCGGUGUGGGUCCCGGUAGAGGCAGGAACUACUGAGGACUCACUGGAUACCCCCAUCCCAGUGCCCAUGCGCACAAACAGCCUGGCGUUCCUCCAGCCCACUGGACACCACACGCUCAAAACCAUCUAACCAUCUGGGAAAGAAAACGAGUCUGUUCAAUGUACACUUUUGAACCCUCUUUGGCUGGCUGCUGUGCCGGCAUUCUGUGGGGGCCACAGAUAGAGACAAGGUGAGAACCUGCCCUCUGGGGGGCAGGGGGACACACACAGCUCCCAGGUGUUGGUGUCUGCCCUAUGCGGGCAGUAGACCCCCGAUGGCUGCUGGGUGACCUUGGGCAGGUGACCUAACCUCUCGGAAUCUCCAAUACUUGGCCUGUGAAGGCCACAGGGAGGAUCACUCAAUGGAAGGGGCGUGGCAGGGUCCACGUGAGGCGCCCCGAGUGCUCGCUUUUGGACGCACACAAGCAGCUCAGAUACUAGCAUCUGGGUAAACCUGGGCCAGUGAUGCGGCCCCACAGAACAAGGGUGGAACUCAAGUCCACUGGGUCAGGCUCUUCGCUCGCACUCUCAGAACGAGCCUCAAGCGAUGUUGUUGAGGGCGGCCUCGGGCUCCGUGGUUAACUCCCCCUGCUCCAUCCCACGUCCUCUCAGUGUCAUGUGUCUAUCUCCUGAUGGAAGCCACGGAAGGGGGCUGUGAGGCGUGGGCGCCGGGGGCUGGCUGGGAGGGCUGACCCGAUAGUGCGGCAAGGGCUGCGUCUGCUGGGACCCUCCACACCCACCAGCUGUUACUCUGCACACGAGAUCACAGCAAGCCCCAGGAGAACACCGAGAGGUAGUGCCUACCCACAGCCCUGGUUUGCAGGUGGGGAAACUGAGGCAUAGAGCGGCAAAGCCACUGGCCCAGUCCCCACAGCCAGCGUGGGGAAGGGGUGGUAUUGGAAAGUCAGCCUGAGGCCUGAUGUCGGGAGGAGUGAAAUCUGUGACCGGGUCCCAGCAUCCUGACCCGACCUGUGACCCCUCCCCCCAGGUCCUGUCCCAAAUCUUGGAAGGGAGGGUGAAGGGCAUGGGGCAACUUCCCUGCAGGGAGGUGCUUUGGGGCACCUCUGUCAUGUUCCCCCAAGCUCCCCCCAGCUCUCAGUCCCCCGGGGGAGGCGAGAACCUGGGAAUUCUCUUAUCUCUGCCUAGCAGGAUGCGUCCUGUGUUGUGUCCCCACCAAGGUUUCCAAGCCCCGUGAUGAGCUUGCAGAUUUCUGCGGGCGAUUGCUCAGCUGCCCUCCGGCCCAGCUUGGGGGGGAGGUGUGUUUUGUUGGCCAGGCUCCUUGCACCGUGGCGGGGCUCCCCGUGUCCCUGGCCUUUUCAGCUGCUCCCGGCCCUCGGAUCCUCGGCAGGCCUGUCCCAGCGGACAGCGGUGUGAAAUGCAGGGGUGAAUUCCUGCCCUCUGCGUUUCCGCCCAUUCUUUGUGUAGAGGCCACCACGGGUUCCCUGCCAGGGAGGGGGCCGCGGGGGACGCAGUGCCCCUUGUGGCCCUCGGGGGCGCUGUGCAGGUGGGCGAGGGCAGGACAGGCCUGCCUGCCUGGCGUGGGCUGGGUUUCCGUCCCCCCUUCCCCAUCAGUGGCACUUGCGAGAGGCGCUGUUACCAAGCUGGGAUGGAUGGACACAGGUCAUCAUCAGUCGAGUUCUGCGCUGCAGUGUGGGCGGUGGGUCUGAGGCCCACCUCCCAUGACGGCUGUUUCAGAAUGCAGAUUCUCAGGCCCGGGGUUCAGAGUCAGCCUGGUGGGGUCUGGGGUGGCAGAGCUCACGCCAGACCCCAGGUCGUUUUGCGGGGCAGGCACAUUGGGGAGUGCAGGUUGGCAGCUCGGUCGGCUCUGCAGUCUGGCUGCGUGUUAGUUCACUGCCGCCUCCUGGUCUGUCCUUGUCCUGGAGCAUCUAGGACCCUCCAUCUUUUCCACUACAACUGGGGUUGUUGGGAGGAAAGAUUCGCUCUUAAUUAAUUCUUAAUUCUUAUUGACCAUGACAUUCAGAGACAUGACCUUCUGUCAUUUUCUGGUCAUCAAAAGCACCAGACGGCCCACACUGAGCUCAGACGCUUGGAGUCAGAAGGAGAGACCUUGAGUGUUCCGAGCACCCUCUGAGGCCCCACUUUAGGCCCACGCUAUCUGCACUGGAAAUUCCCAAAUGAUGACAGAUAAUACCAGGCACUCAACCUCUUUGCUGUCCCCUGGGGUCCAGGGACCCUGGAUUGGGAACCACCGAGUGGUCCUGUGAUUCUCAGAACUGAGGGCAUUGGGACCAGAGAGGGACUGACUCUUCUCAGGACACCACAAGGUAAGGAAGGGGAGUGGGACAGACACCCAUGUUUCCCACAAGAUGCUGCGGGACAGCGAGACCUCUCAGAGGUGCGCCUGCCAGAUGGGACCAGUGAGCUCCCUUCUGGAAAUGUCCACUGAGGUAGCAUCAGGCUGGGCUGCAGGGAGAGGGCACACCAGGCCCGGGACACCUGUCACGCUGCAGGUCCCUCCUGGGCGUCAUAGCUCCCACUUCCCCUCCUUGGAGGGGUCAGGUGCUUGGUGCCCCGAGGCUGACAUGCACUAUUGG